GACGAACGCUGGCGGCGUGGAUUAGGCAUGCAAGUCGAACGGUAGGAUACUUUCGGGUAUCUGAGAGUGGCGAACGGGUGAGUAACACGUAGGUGAUCUACCCUCAAGAUUGGGACAACCCAGGGAAACUUGGGCUAAUACCGGAUGAAAGCAGCAGUGAUGUUGUUUGAAAGGUGGCGUAAGCUGCCGUUUGGGGAUGAGCCUGCGCUCUAUUAGUUAGUUGGCGGGGUAAAGGCCCACCAAGGCGAUGAUAGAUAGGCGGCCUUAACGGGUGGUCGCCCACACUGGGAUUGAGAUACGGCCCAGACUCCUACGGGAGGCAGCAGUCGAGAAUAGUCUACAAUGGCCGAAAGGCUGAUAGUGCGACGCCGCGUGAACGAAGAAGCCUUCGGGGUGUAAAGUUCUUUUAUAUGUGAGCAGUGCUUUUCAUGUUAACAGCAUGGGGAGAGAGAUAUUAGCAUAUGAAUAAGCAACGGCUAACUCCGUGCCAGCAGCCG
rnacentral:rRNA from 1 species